ACAAAGGAAGUCUAGAAUCCAAACAACCUCGUAGGAGGCAUGAAUCAGAUGGUGUCUCUGGUUAUCCUGAAGAAUUGCCAAAGAGCAUAACUGAAAAGGGCAAACAACAUGUGAAACCAAACAGAAGGCAUGACUCUGGGGAUGAGUCUGACUUUGACAGCAGAACGGAAAGGAGAAGGAAUGGAAAGAAGAAGUAGCCAAGUUGAGCAGCAAAGGAAUCAAAGGUCAGCCGCAGGGUAGAUCGAGAUUAUUUUGAUGUGGAGAAAGCCAACAAUGUUAGAAGUGGAAAAAGCAUAAAAUCGUAUGAUAGUGAUUCUAUUUCUGACUAUGAAAGAUCCAGAAAAAGUAGAGGUGCAAUAACAGAAAAAAGUAGAAGGAGUGGUAGGAAUGAUACUAAUGAUGAUGAUACUAAUAUUGGGAGGAGACCUGCAAGGGUUGAAGAGGGUGGAGGACGUGGAAGGCACAACAAGAGUGAACUGCAAAAAGGAAGGAAAAAUGAAAGAGAUGAAGAGGAUCAUGAUUAUAGAAGGCCCAGGGAAGGUCUGGAAUAGGAACUUGGAAAUAGAAAGCGUGGUACUAGAGAGGAAGAAGGGGCAAAUGAGGAUAUUGAGAGGGAUAGACAUAUCGAUUACAGAAGAGCAAAAUAUGAUGGAGUCUAGAGCAAGUGAGAGGAGAAGGCAUGAAACUAACAUAAUGAAGAGGAGCGUAAGUCUAGAAGGCAUGGAGAAGAUAUGAAGGGGAGCGUAGAAACAGAUGACAUGGAAAACUGGAGGAACAACGGGGAAAUAAGGAGAUUGAGAGAGAUAGACGGGAUUCCAGAUCAAUUUUGAGGAGAAGGUAUGAGAAUGACAAAGUACAAUGAUGUUGUGACUGAUUCUAUGGUGUGUUGUACUAUCCUCUGUCAAUCUUAACAUUCACUGUUUGUUGGAAGGCUUUUGAUUUUAUAUAAUAUUUUGAGGGAUCACAUGCAAAUUCAUAGCACUACGUGCAUCAUAUCAGCAAACUAUUUCAAAUAUUAUGAGUUCCCAUUCAAACAUCCAAAUCAACUUUUGUUCAAUAGAAAUGUUCGUGGUCGUGUCACUAUCUGUUGCAUUUGUAGUGUCUAAUAAUGUCAGUCUUGAGUCUUUUCCUUGUAUCAAUGUUUGAUCCUUUGCUGCUCAUUUCACUACAAAAAAGAAUUCAAUUCGCUUCACCAAUUUGCAUCGGCGUGCAAUUGCUGUCGCUAAAGCCUACUCUUUUGCUAUGGCAAAACUUGACCAUCGCAAUUGUAUAAAAGUUAUGCAACCGUAUUAUUUCCCGUCGCUAGUUGUGGUCGCCAGCCUCUAUGGUUUACUUCGGCAAGAAUUUGCCGUCGCAAGCUAAUAACAAUUAGCGACUGCAAAAGACUUGCCGUCGCGUUAUCCUAAUUAACUCUACUCCGCCCUCUUUCGUCUUUCAGUUCUUUGAGCCCAUAACUCCAUCUCGAUCUGAUACCUCGAUGAUUACCCAGAUCUCCUCCUCGUCUCCUCCUCUUUCCAUCACCUCCUUGAGCUAUUUUCCUCUCCAGAUCUUACCAAAUCCAGCAGAAUACAACCGACAACUAAAUAAGCCGAUUUAGGUCAACUCCAUCGAGUUUAUCAGGAGAUCUACCAACCAAUCGUUCCUCUCAAUGUCAAAAACCUAAUCUAAUACAUUUCACCUCACCCACCUGCAGCCCCAAUCGGCUGCAACGAUCCCGAGUUCACCUAUCUCUUCAAGCUCAAACUAGACAUAGCUAGUUGCUCUUCAUCAACCGAUUUACUUCUGAUUUGUUUGGGUCACUGUGAAUAUCGACGCGGCGACGACGAAUCACCGAGGCGGGAAGGCCGGAAUCUCUGACUGGACCGCGUAUAUCUAUGGUUUAUAUAAACCAAGGUAUUCAUGAUAUUAUAACAAGGUAUUUGUGGUUUAUAUCUGCUUCUGCUUCUCUUCUUCUGUAGGCUUUAGCUACUUCAAAGGCUGGUGGACCGAUUCCCUCCUUUAAAGGCAUUUCAUUUUGUCCUUGACGACACUGAUGAGGUGAAAGGUGCUAGGCCUGUAAUAUAGUAGUUCCCUUUCCUUUGGAUUUGAUGUAAGGUUUCUGAUUUUGAUGGUAGAUCAUUGAGUUAAGAGAAAGAAGACGACAGAUUGAAGAACUUCGUUGAACAAGUGAUGGCACCAAAAACUAUAAUGAGAGGAGCAAAAAGAUUGUUAGAAGAGUGAUGAUGGAAAUCGUGACAAUGAACAAAAAAUUCAACAAAUUUCGUAUGGUGAAGAUUUUGUUACAAGAAGAACUACAUGUAAUCGUGUUGAUCAGAUUAUAUCAUGUAGAUGGAAAAGAGUAUCUCAUCCAGAAACUGCUGAAGCAUCAGAGAGUAACAGCCAAGAUAUCAUUGCAGCUCCAAAUGAAAAUGCACAUAUGAUUACAGAAGGCUGAAAAGUAGCUGAGCUCUAGUUGGAUUCUCAUGCGAGCUAGUAGUCUCGGAGUACCUACAACUAUUGAAUGGCUGAAUGAUGUUUUGGCCCCUGGUGGGAGAGUUGGCAUUGACCCUAGAGGAAGUGACAUUCCACAUUCACCUGUUAUGUAUGCACAUCUGAUUGUGGAGAUCGACAAAACAAAGUUAUAUGUAGAUACUUCCAAAGUAGGCAUGAGGUGUAGGAUCACCUGGCGAAUGCGGGUUUCAGGCCAUAUGACUCCAUUCUUUCUAAAGUAGAAAGGUGAGUUUGUGAGCUGAACCCUUUGUGCAUAGUGAACAUUUUUUCACAAAAGUGGUGAUCUUGUACAUGUAAUCACAUUUACAGCUUCAAUAGCAGUCAUAGUCCAAUGACAGAUUAUGACUUCUAGGCUGUAAUAGUUAGGCAUACCUUUAUGUCUUAAUUAUGCUUCUAGCCUGACCUUCAUUUCUUUUAAGAGGAAGGUGAACUCAUUUGGUACUUAGGAACACAACAGAUUGGCAUCUAGCUGAAUUCGGCUGAGAUACAUAAUCGUUGCAAGGCUCUUUGGGUUGCUGGUAAUGGAUUUGCAGAAGAGAUUAGGUUGGUGAGGAAUUGGUCUUAACACUACAUGUAUUUUAACUUUGUGAAUUUCAUGUAUUUGAAUAUUGGUGAAUAUGUAUUAAAUUGAUAUUGAAAAUUAAUCUAAUGUAUUUAUUUCUUUUU